GGUGCUGUCAGGUGAAUGGCUAAACACAGACCUCUUUCUGCACUGAAGUUCCAGCAAAUGGUCUGACUGACUUCUUUUAUGUGUACUUGCAUGGAAUUAGAAAGUAGUUGGAGAUACAAGAACUGGGAACCCACAGAUGAGAAAAUGGGCUGCUUAAAAAUGAAUUGCUGAUUUCCAUAUAACAUGACCUGUAUAAUCCACAGGCCCUUUGGAGACGUCUGUUUUCCAGACUCCAAACUAUCGUGUCACACAGCACUCAUGAACACUAAAAUUACUCAGUCACCAAGAUAUCUAAUCAUGGGAAGAGCAAAUAAGUCUUUGGAAUGUGAGCAACAUCUGGGACAUAAUGCUAUGUACUGGUAUAAACAGAGCGCUGAGAAGCCCCCAGAGCUCAUGUUUCUCUACAGUGUUAAACAAUUGAUUCGAAAUGAGACGGUGCCCAGUCGUUUUAUACCUGAAUGCCCAGACAGCUCCAAGCUACUCUUACAUGUAUCUGCCGUGGAUCCAGAAGACUCAGCUGUAUAUUUUUGUGCCAGCAGCCAAGACACAGCCCUGCAGACUCAUUAGAUCUCUGUACACAAACCUACAUGUUCAGGAAGCUGUGGGGCAACUGAGGGCUGCAUUGAAGAUUUCACAUAGAAACCAAAACAGAUGUUGCAAACUAUAACACUACCUUAAAAGUCAACCCAUGUUGCAACCCUAUAUGCCAGGCUCAUAUUUAGAGGUAGCGUUUCCUUACUUCUACACGGCUCUGCUGUCAACAGAUGUAAAGAUAAGUACUUGUGGGUAUCAGUUCUUAAGUGAGUUUUAUAGUUGUGAGAGAAAAUAAACCAGCUAGAAAGUG
ensembl:lincRNA